UGAUAACUUAAUUACUAUGCCUAAUGACAUUUGUUUAUUUGUCAAUCGUUCCCUAAGUGACGAAGAGAAAAUUCUGGUUUUAAAAAUGUCUGGAUUCCGGCAAAAAAUUUUGAUUUUCCUAUACAAAAUAAAUGUAUGAAAAAAAAAUUAAAAUUCCAAUAUUCAUGAUUAGAAAAAUAUUCAUGGUUGGCUUAUUCAAAAGAAGAUGAAGGGGCUUACUGUCGGCACUGUGUAGUGUUUUCCAAGCAUGGAGGAGUUGGAAACCAAUUAUUGGGGCAACUUGUACUAACACCAUUUUGCAAUUAUAAAAAUGCCCUCAAAGCAUUUCAAGAUCAUGCAAAUACUUCCUACCAUGCAUCAUCUGUUUUAAAGUCCCAGCAUUUUUUAAAUAUUAUAGAUCACACACAGCCAUCAAUAAUUGAACGCAUAGAUAC